AGGCGCCCUCCGCCCCGCCCACUCUCCCCGCCACGUGGUGGCUGGGCGAGGGCCUCGGGGUAGCCC
rnacentral:pre_miRNA from 1 species